UGAGGAAUAUUGCACAAUGGGCGAAAGCCUGAUGCAGCGACACCACGUGAAGGAUGAAGGUCUUAGGAUCGUAAACUUCUGUUAAGUGGGAAAAAAGAACCGAUCCAAAUAAGAUCGGGAGAUGAUGGUACCACUAGAGAAAGCACCGGCUAACUUCGUGCCAGCAGCCGCGGUAAUACGAGGGGUGCAAACGUUAUUCGGAAUUACUGGGUGUAAAGGGUACGUAGACGGCAUCUUAAGCCAAUUGUUAAAUUCCCCGGCUCAACUGGGGGUAGGCGAUUGAAACUAAGAAGCUAGAGAGUGGAAGAGAGAAGUGGAAUUCUCGGAGUAGCGGUAAAAUGCGUAGAUCUCGAGAGGAACACCGAUGGCGAAGGCAGCUUCUUGGUCCAUUUCUGACGUUGAGGUACGAAAGCGUGGGGAGCAAACAGG
rnacentral:rRNA from 1 species